rnacentral:rRNA from 1 species
CCCUUAGAUGUUCGGAGCUGCACGCGCGCUACACUGAAGGAAGCAGCGUGUUAGAGCACCUGGCUUGAAAGAGCUGGGUAAUCCGGUGAAUGUCCUUCGUGAUUGGGAUAGGGACUUGUAAUUAUUUCCCUUGAACGAGGAAUACCUAGUAAGUGCGAGUCAUCAGCUUGCGCUGACUUACGUCCCUGCCCCUUGUACACACCGCCCGUCGCUCCUACCGAUUGAAUGAUCCGAUGAAUAUCAUGGAUUGAGGAUGCAAGUAGGUUCGCCUAUCUUCAUCUUCGAGAAGUGAAGUAAAUCUUAUCAUUUAGAGGAAGGAGAAGUCGUAACA